CUUCUCUUCAUUGUUAAACCAGCAGAACUCUCUUGGAAUCGAACUCAAUCUAUCAAAAAUCAAAAGCUAUCUUAUCUGAAUCAAACCGAAUUUGUGAGGUCUCUUGAACUCGAUCUGAUUUGUUAGAUGGGUUUUGAUAAGAUUGAGUUUAAGUUAUUUUAUUUUUCGAACGAGGGUUUCAACUCAGUCUGAUUUGUGAGAUCUCUUGAACUCGUCUCACAAAUCAAACCCAUAUUUCAGAAAUCAAAUCCAAUCUUCAGGUAUUCAGAAAUCAAACCCAAUCUUCAGGUAACCCAAAUUUGGAUUCAAACCCUAGAAAUGGGAUUUUCUCUUUUAUAAACCCAGCAAAAUGUUCUCUCUAUUUUUAUGAAUUUCAAUUUUGAGUUUGAUUACUGUCUAUCUUUACAUCCGGUUGGAUCGAUUUUAUAAGGUUUGUUUUUGGUUAGUUUUUAUUAGACAAAAUCAUUUAGGUUUAAGAUUUUCGUUUGGGUGCUGUUUUGAAUUCCCAUAAUUUAAUUGCUUAAAUCUGAGAUUUUUGGGGUUUGUAUUGAGUUAAUUUCCCUUCUAGAUCCAUGAAGUUAUUGAUUAUGGAAAGAAAGAAAGUGAUAAGAAUGACUCUUUGGUUAUUCAUAAAGGAGGGAUGGAGCUGAGUUUCACACUGCUUAAGAUCAAGAAGAAAUGUCAGGACUUAUGCUGCUAUCCAAUCAUGGUGGUAUUAUGCAUAUUUUAAGUUUAUUUUUCAUUGUUAGGUACAAAAGGAGUGUAUUUUUUCUCUAAGAGUUUAUCAAUCAAUGUACCCGGUCCAUCAAAAAAAAUAAAAAAUCAAUGUAGCCCCAAUUGGAUAAGUAAUUUGUAUUUUCUUCUCUUGACUGCAGUCAAGUGCUACAUCUGAUGUGUAAUUAUACACGUGAAGUUUUUGAAGAAGGGUAAGAAUUGAACAAGAGAAUCUCCAAAUCAAAGAAUCUGAUGGUUAUUUUGCCGUUGAGAACCCGUAUGUGCCUAAUAUUGUCCAUUUCGUAUCCUAAAUUGGCAUUCACGUGUUGGGUUGAGUUCCUGUUGUGUUUGCAAAAAAGUUUUUGUUUGAGUAAGUGUUUGAAUGACCUGUCCUGUCACCUGUGGCUCUGAUAAGUAACAUGUUUGGUGGAGAGAAACAGUACGUGGUCUUGCAAAGAAUAUGUUCACCAAAAAUUAGGGAAGCCAAGGAGCUAUAUUUUAACAAGGAUAGGUGUGUUGUUAAUAAGUUAAUACUGUUAACAAGCUUGCAGAUUACUCUUGGUCCUAAGGUUAGGAAUGUUGUUUCGGAAAUGAAGUACGACUCUCCUAAGAUUGUGAAAGAUGGAGUGGUUGUGGCCAAAGAGGUUGAUUUGGAAGAUUCAGUUGAAAACGUCAGUGCUAAGUUGGUAAGACAAGCUGCUGCUAAGUUUAUGACUCUAAUAAGCACACUACCAAGGUAGAACAAAAAAGUUCGAUGUGGAAAAAGCUCUAGCCACCUCAUUACAUGAUUUUGAAAAGGAAAUUUAUGGUUUCUUGUGGGUACGAGACAAUCAAAGAAUUAUACUCAUAAUCUAGUACAAGAGAAUUGGAUGACAAAAUGAAAAUUUUAGCUCUUUUUAUUCAGGAAAAAUACAUGGUUCCUUAAAUGUAAUGGAGACUUGUUUAUAGGAUUCCUUGCAGAUUUACUCCUAGGCUUGUCUUACCAUUUCUUCAAUUUGCCAUAUCCCCGUGAAGAGAUUACUGAAAGAUUCGAAUUGCAUGGUCCUUGAAAUUCUUCCAUUCGGAUUAGGUGCUCAUUGGGUAACAUUGAUGCUCAUUAUGAGAAGGCAUUGGAAGUUUCAGACAACAGUACAUGACUCCAAACAACUGAACUGGUGAUUUGUAGGACUUCGUUUUAUUUUAUGCCACAACAGAAGACUCAUAGUGCUGUUAAGUGUUGUAAGGAUGAUUUGUAGGACUUCGUUCUUACAAAGUCAGGGUUCUGUACUAUUUGUAAUACUUGAAUUUUUAAUUUCGGAAGUACCA